CCUUUGGGUGGGGGAAUAACUCAGGGAAACUUGAGCUAAUACCGCAUAAUGCAGCGGCUCGACAUCGAGACAGUUGUUAAAGCGGGGGAUUGGAGCAAUCCGACCUCGCGCCUAAAGAGAAGCCUGCGGCAGAUUAGCUAGUUGGUAAGGUAAUGGCUUACCAAGGCUACGAUCUGUAACCGGCCUGAGAGGGCGGUCGGUCACACUGACACUGACAUACGGGUCAG
rnacentral:rRNA from 1 species